AACUGUCUCUUACGGACUAGCCAAUGAAAUUGAUCCUUCAGUACAAAAGCUGGAAUUAACCCAUAAGACGAGAAGACCCUGUGGAGCUUCAAAACCAAAAUCACUAAACAUGCCUCCUGGUUUUUUAGUUGGGGCGACUUUGGAGCAAAAAAAAUCCUCCAAAACAUAAAGUCAUUUAUUAAGAAAAACACACCAAAAAUAAUAUUAUAGACCCAGCAGUACUAGUUUACUGUCUGAUCAAUGAACCAAGUUACCCCAGGGAUAACAGCGCCAUCCUCUUCUAGAGUCCUUAUCGACAAGAGGGUUUACGACCUCGAUGUUGGAUCAGGACACCC
rnacentral:rRNA from 1 species